rnacentral:lncRNA from 1 species
GUUUCUGUGCUAUAAUAUAACUAAGAUUUGACCUGCAGGGUCUACCCCUCUAAAGAAAACUUAUCUCCUUAAAUGUUUAAUUCUGAAAUUUUUUUCACUAGAGUGGAAAAAUUCUAAAUGGAAAUACGACAAAAGCAAAUGAUGUUAAGGAGGAACUCCAUUCUGCACAGGAGCUGCUGCUGAAUUUGGUGGUGCUGAAUUCUGAGACUGACUGCAGAUUUCCAACUUCCAUGGCUGAAUCAUUUUUUCUAAGUUAACUUCCAUUAUGAAUAUGAAAAGUUUUGUCAGGCUCUGACAGAAAAAUGAAGACAUUAGUGCUUUCAGAGGUAUCAUGGACAUAUACACAAGUGGACACUCACACAAAUUCCUAUCUCAUGGAAAUGAUGGUGAAGAAAGAAGAGAUAAUGUGCAUGAUUAUCUGUUGUGGAAACACCUAACGUAAGAAUAAGAAUUUCCUU